GUGUCGGUAGUAGCAACGGUUAGCACACGCUGCCGGAAAGAGUGAGAUCUGGGUUCGAAUCCCGGUUGACGCA